rnacentral:rRNA from 1 species
CCAGCAAUGGGAUGCGAAUCUCGAAAGCCUGUCUCAGUUCGGAUUGGAGGCUGAAACCCGCCUCCAUGAAGUUGGAUUCGCUAGUAAUCGCGCAUCAGCCAUGGCGCGGUGAAUACGUUCCCGGGCCUUGUACACACCGCCCGUCAAGCCAUGGGAGCCGGGGGUGCCUGAAGUUCGUGACCGCAAGGAGCGACCUAGGGCAAAACUGGUGACUGGGGCUAAGUCGUAACAAGGUAAC